GCAAGUCGAACGAUGAAAGCUGGAGCUUGCUUUAGCUGGAUUAGUGGCGAACGGGUGAGUAACACGUGAGCAAUCUGCCCCUGACUCUGGGAUAACUUCGAGAAAUCGAAGCUAAUACCGGAUACGACCCUUCCAGGCAUCUGGUGAGGGUGGAAAGAACUUCGGUCAGGGAUGAGCUCGCGGCCUAUCAGCUAGUUGGUGAGGUAAUGGCUCACCAAGGCAUCGACGGGUAGCCGGCCUGAGAGGGCGAUC
rnacentral:rRNA from 1 species